rnacentral:rRNA from 1 species
UACGUAGGGGGCAAGCGUUGUCCGGAUUUAUUGGGCGUAAAGAGCGUGUAGGCGGCCAGGCAGGUCCGUUGUGAAAACUCGAGGCUCAACCUCGAGACGUCGAUGGAAACCGUCUGGCUAGAGUCCGGAAGAGGAGAGUGGAAUUCCUGGUGUAGCGGUGAAAUGCGCAGAUAUCAGGAAGAACACCUAUGGCGAAGGCAGCUCUCUGGGCCUUACCUGACGCUGAGGCGCGAAAGCUAGGGGAGCGAACAGG